GAAGUAGGGAAUCGCAAGACCUUGCGCUUCUAGAGCGGCCGAUGUCUGAUUAGCUUGUUGGUGAGGUAAAGGCUUACCAAGGCUUCGAUCAGUAACUGGUCUGAGAGGACGGCCAGCCACACUGGGACUGAGACACGGCCCAGACUCCUACGGGAGGCAGCAGUGGGGAAUUUUGGACAAUGGGGGCAACCCUGAUCCAGCCAUGCCGCGUGAGUGAAGAAGGCCUUCGGGUUGUAAAGCUCAUUCAGCCGAAACGAACCGGUUACGGUUAAUACCCGUGACUACUGACGGUACCGGAAGAAGAAGCACCGGCUAACUACGUGCCAGCAGCCGCGGUAAUACGUAGGGUGCGAGCGUUAAUCGGAAUUACUGGGCGUAAAGCGUGCGCAGGCAGUUUUGUAAGUCAGAUGUGAAAUCCCCGGGCUUAACCUGGGAACUGCGUUUG
rnacentral:rRNA from 1 species